rnacentral:rRNA from 1 species
GACGAACGCUGGCGGCGUGCUUAACACAUGCAAGUCGAACGGUAAGGCCCUUCGGGGUACACGAGUGGCGAACGGGUGAGUAACACGUGGGUGAUCUGCCCUGCACUUCGGGAUAAGCCUGGGAAACUGGGUCUAAUACCGGAUAGGACCCUGGGAUGCAUGUCCUGGGGUGGAAAGCUUUUGCGGUGUGGGAUGGGCCCGCGGCCUAUCAGCUUGUUGGUGGGGUGAUGGCCUACCAAGGCGACGACGGGUAGCCGGCCUGAGAGGGUGACCGGCCAAAAUGGGACUGUGAUACGGCACAGACGCCUACGGGAGGCAGCGGUGGGGAGUAUGGCACAAUGGGCGCAAGCCUGAUGCAGCGACGCCGCGUGAGGGAUGACGGCCUUCGGGGUGUAAACCUCUUUCAGCACCGACGAAGCGCAAGUGACGGUAGGUGCAGAAGAAGGACCGGCCAACUACGUGCCAGCCGCCGCCGUAA